UCCACCGCCCCAGUCCUUUCUUUCUGGUCUCUUUUCUGUGAUUUAUUAGAUCGGAAGAAUAUGUAACCUGAGUCUUUUCCCGAAACCUUAAUUUGAUCAGGACUUUCAGUUUCAUUCUGGAGAAGCGUCAUCGCACAGUCUUAGCACUUGGACGAGCGACAGAGGAGCAGCCGAGAAGCGAAUCUAAAGCUUCACACCGCUCAGACUCAAGUGUCUAACACAGGGACACACCGGACGGGAACUUCGGUGAAGUGUGAAUUAUUAAUCAUCUUCCAGUUUUUGACCUGAGGAAAUGGGAGCCUUGGCUUUGAAAGCAAUAAAAGAAGAAGAAAUCAAGCAACCUCCUCUCUUGAAUAAACCAUGGAGAGAGCUGAAGUUCACUGAAGAGUAAGUCUAGUAAGGACUGAACUCAUAGAGGAAAUCAAGAAAUACACAGCAAAGACUGGCGUUGUGGAACAGCCCAGAAUCCUGCUGACUGGGCAGAUUAAAGCUGGAAAAAGCAGCUUCUUCAACUCUGUUAAUUCCGUCUUCAAAGGAUUUCCAAUAUUCCAGGCCACAGCAUGUGAAAAAGAGUCAAGUAUGAGUAAAUAUUGCAGAACAUAUGCAGUUUAUGACUCAAAAGGUGGGAAGACAUUGCCAUUCACCUUUUGUGACAUCAUGGGCCUGGAGCCAUAUAAUGACAAGGGAAUUCUUGUUAAAGAUAUCAUCAAUGUGAUUAGAGGAUACAUCCCAGGUUAAUUAUAAGGUAAUUUUCAAGACUUUUUUUUUUAAAAAAACUAGGA